UGACCUCGGAUCAGGUAGGGAUACCCGCUGAACUUAAGCAUAUCAAUAAGCGGAGAGAAUC
rnacentral:rRNA from 1 species